GUGAAUCAUCGAAUUUUUGAACGCAAAUUGCACUCUCUUCGGAGAGUAUGCCUGUUUGAGGGUCAGCCUAAAAAAAAAUCGACAUAGUCGCUGUUUCGCGGUGACAUUCGUCGGAAAUUGGGUCAUCUUAAACCUUUGGGUUUUAAGCGGCUUAAAUUUUUUUUUUGAAUCCAAGGACAGUUUUAAAGUUUUACUUUUAAUCCG
rnacentral:misc_RNA from 1 species